rnacentral:rRNA from 1 species
UGCCAGCCGCCGCGGUAAUACGGAGGGGGCAAGCGUUGUUCGGAAUUACUGGGCGUAAAGGGCGCGUAGGCGGGACGUCAAGUCAGGGGUGAAAGGCCUGGGCUCAACCUAGGAACUGCCUUUGAAACUGACGACCUUGAGUACGGGAGAGGAUAGCGGAAUUCCCAGUGUAGAGGUGAAAUUCGUAGAUAUUGGGAAGAACACCGGUUGCGAAGGCGGCUAUCUGGCCCGUUACUGACGCUGAGGCGCGAAAGCGUGGGGAGCAAACAGGAUUAGAUA